rnacentral:pre_miRNA from 1 species
CCGUAUCUCUCUCUCUCUCUCUCUCUCUCUAUAUAUAUAUAUAUAUAUAUAUAUAUAUAUAUAGAGAGAGAGAGAGAGAGAGAGAGCUGUACUA